GAACCUCAAGGGGAAGCUCAACGGGAUCGCGCUCCGGGUGCCGACGCCGAACGUGUCCGUGGUCGACCUCGUGGUGCAGGUGUCCAAGAAGACCCUCGCCGAGGAGGUGAACCAGGCGUUCCGCGACAGCGCCGCCAACGAGCUCAAGGGCAUCCUCGAGGUCUGCGACGUGCCGCUCGUGUCCGUCGACUUCAGGUGCUCCGACGUGUCGUGCACCAUCGACGCGUCGCUCAGCAUGGUCAUGGGCGACGACAUGGUGAAGGUCAUCGCCUGGUACGACAACGAGUGGGGAUACUCGCAGAGGGUCGUCGACCUCGCCGACAUCGUCGCCAACCAGUGGAAGUGAGAACGUAGAAGCUGCUGCUGCUGCUGCCUUUGUAACUCCACCUCGCUCCAAAAAUUUUCCCCAGACUUCUUCCUUCUUCCUCUCGAUCCUUUGUAAUGAGAAUUUCGAAGUUUCGAGCGCCCAACACAGUUUCUUGUUUCUUUCUUUGCUUUUCUUCCCCAC
rnacentral:misc_RNA from 1 species